CAAUAGCGUAUAUUUAAGUUGCUGCAGUUAAAAAGCUCGUAGUUGGAUUUCGGGUGGGAAUGGCCGGUCCGCCGUUUCGGUGUGCACUUGCUACGCCCACCUUGCUGCCGGGGACGUGCUCUUGAGUUCACGCUCGGGACACGGAGUCGGCGAGGUUACUUUGAGUAAAUUAGAGUGUUCAAAGCAGGCCUACGCUCUGAAUACAUUAGCAUGGAAUAACACGAUAGGACUCUGGCCUAUCUUGUUGGUCUGUAGGACCGGAGUAAUGAUUAAGAGGGACAGUCGGGGGCAUUCGUAUUUCAUUGUCAGAGGUGAAAUUCUUGGAUUUAUGAAAGACGAACUACCGCGAAAGCAUUUGCCAAGGAUGUUUUCAUUGA
rnacentral:rRNA from 1 species